ACUGCUCAGUAACACGUGGACAACCUGCCCUUAGGUUGGGUAUAAACCCGGGAAACUGGGUAUAAUACCCGAUAGGUCUCGAUUGCUGGAAUGCAUCGAGAUUUAAAGCCCCGGCGCCUAAGGAUGGGUCUGCGGCCUAUCAGGUAGUAGUGGGUGUAGCGUACCUACUAGCCUACGACGGGUACGGGUUGUGAGAGCAAGAGCCCGGAGAUGGAUUCUGAGACACGAAUCCAGGCCCUACGGGGUGCAGCAGGCGCGAAAACUUUACAAUGCUGGCAACAGCGAUAAGGGAACCUCGAGUGCCAGGUUACAAAUCUGGCUGUCGAGAUGCCUAAAAAGCAUUUCAUAGCAAGGGCCGGGCAAGACCGGUGCCAGCCGCCGCGGUAACACCGGCGGCUCGAGUGGUAACCGUUAUUAUUGGGUCUAAAGGGUCUGUAGCCGGCCGGAUAAGUCUCUUGAGAAAUCUGGCAGCUUAACUGUCAGGCUUUCAGGAGAUACUGUCUGGCUCGAGGCCGGGAGAGGUGAGAGGUACUUCAGGGGUAGGGGUGAAAUCUUGUAAUCCUUGAAGGACCACCAGUGGCGAAGGCGUCUCACCAGAACGGACCUGACGGCAAGGGACGAAAGCUAGGGGCACGAACCGGAUUAGAUACCCGGGUAGUCCUAGCCGUAAACGAUACUCGCUAGGUGUCGGCCACGGUGCGACCGUUGUCGGUGCCGUAGGGAAGCCGUGAAGCGAGCCACCUGGGAAGUACGGCCGCAAGGCUGAAACUUAAAGGAAUUGGCGGGGGAGCAC
rnacentral:rRNA from 1 species